UACAGAGGGGGCAAGCGUUAUUCGGAAUUAUUGGGCGUAAAGGGCGCGUAGGCGGCUUUGCAAGUGACGGGUGAAAUCCCUCGGCUUAACCGAGGAACUGCCUGUCAAACUGCAUGGCUUGAGACCAGGAGAGGUGAGUGGAAUUCCCAGUGUAGAGGUGAAAUUCGUAGAUAUUCGGAAGAACACCAGUGGCGAAGGCGGCUCACUGGACCGGUAUUGACGCUGAGGUGCGAAAGCGUGGGGAGCAAACAGG
rnacentral:rRNA from 1 species